rnacentral:rRNA from 1 species
GACGGACCGUGCGAACGUUGUUCGGAAUCACUGGGCUUAAAGGGCGCGUAGGCGGGCUGCCAAGUCUGGGGGUGAAAUCCCACGGCUCAACCGUGGAACUGCCUCGGAUACUGGCGGCCUCGAGGGAGGUAGGGGCGUGCGGAACUGUGGGUGGAGCGGUGAAAUGCGUUGAUAUCCACAGGAACUCCGGUGGCGAAGGCGGCACGCUGGACCUCUUCUGGACGCUGAGGCGCGAAAGCCAGGGGAGCAAACGGGG